rnacentral:rRNA from 1 species
AUUGAACGCUGGCGGCAUGCUUUACACAUGCCAGUCGAGCGGUAACAGGGUGCUUGCACCGCUGACGAGUGGCGAACGGGUGAGUAAUGCAUCGGAAUGUACCGUGUAAUGGGGGAUAGCUCGGCGAAAGCCGGAUUAAUACCGCAUACGCCCUGAGGGGGAAAGUGGGGGACCGAAAGGCCUCACGUUAUACGAGCAGCCGAUGUCUGAUUAGCUAGUUGGUGAGGUAAAGGCUCACCAAGGCGUCGAUCAGUAGCGGGUCUGAGAGGAUGAUCCGCCACACUGGGACUGAGACACGGCCCAGACUCCUACGGGAGGCAGCAGUGGGGAAUUUUGGACAAUGGGCGCAAGCCUGAUCCAGCCAUGCCGCGUGUCUGAAGAAGGCCUUCGGGUUGUAAAGGACUUUUGUCCGGGAGCAAAUCCUAGUGGUUAAUAACCGCUGGGUCUGAGAGUACCGGAAGAAUAAGCACCGGCUAACUACGUG